GACCUCAAAUCAGGUAAGGACACCCGCUGAACUUAAGCAUAUCAAUAAGCGGAGGAAAAGAAAAUAACAAUGAUUCCCCUAGUAACUGCGAGUGAAGAGGGACAAGCUCAAAUUUUAAAUCCAUCGGGUUUUACCUGAUCGAGUUGUAAUUUGAAGAUGGCGUUUUCUGUGUUUCUGAUCAGUCCAAGUCCUUUGGGAUAAGGCAUCAUGGAGGGUGAGAAUCCCGUUCGGUUGAUCAGAUUCGCUUUACGAUACGUUAUCAAAGAGUCAAGUUGUUUGGGAUUGCAGCUUAAAAUGGGAGGUAAAUUUCUCCUAAGGCUAAAUAACGGCGAGAGACCGAUAGCGAACAAGUACCGUGAGGGAAAGAUGAAAAGAACUUUGAAAAGAGAGUUAAACAGUACGUGAAAUUGUUGAAAGGGAAACGAUUGAAGCCAGUCGUACCUUCGGGUAAUCAGCCUUUUGGGUGUGAUUUUGUGGAGCGUGAAGAGUUAAACGCCUUCAUGCUUGCAUAUUCGUGCACUUUGGGUGUACUUGCCCGUAUGGUUGGUUAACAUCAAUUUUGGUGGUCAUAAAAUGACUGGAGGAAUGUAGCUUCGAUCUCGUAUUGAAGUAUUAUAGCCUUCGGUAGAUGUGAUGAUCGAGAUUGAGGAUUGCAACGGAUACCCUUCGGGGCUACCUGUCUGAUCUCUGAUCGUUGCUCUGGUACCGAAAGCUUGCUUACGGUUAUCAAAGUCGAUGGUCAAUAGGUUAGAACGGGUUAAAUUCGUUAAGGAUGUUGACGUAAUGGUUUUAAACGACCCGUCUUGAAACACGGACCA
rnacentral:rRNA from 1 species